rnacentral:rRNA from 1 species
UGCAAGUCGACGAUGAACCUCACUUGUGGGGGGAUUAGUGGCGAACGGGUGAGUAACACGUGAGUAACCUGCCCUUGACUCUGGGAUAAGCCUGGGAAACCGGGUCUAAUACUGGAUACGACCUUCUGGCGCAUGCCAUGUUGGUGGAAAGCUUUUGUGGUUUUGGAUGGACUCGCGGCCUAUCAGCUUGUUGGUGGGGUAAUGGCCUACCAAGGCGACGACGGGUAGCCGGCCUGAGAGGGUGACCGGCCACACUGGGACUGAGACACGGCCCAGACUCCUACGGGAGGCAGCAGUGGGGAAUAUUGCACAAUGGGCGCAAGCCUGAUGCAGCGACGCCGCGUGAGGGAUGAAGGCCUUCGGGUUGUAAACCUCUUUCAGUAGGGAAGAAGCCGGCCUUUCGGGGUUGGUGACGGUACCUGCAGAAGAAGCGCCGGCUAACUACGUGCCAGCAGCCGCGGUAAUACGUAGGGCGCAAGCGUUAUCCGGAAUUAUUGGGCGUAAAGAGCUCGUAGGCGGUUUGUCGCGUCUGCCGUGAAAGUCCGGGGCUUAACCCCGGAUCUGCGGUGGGUACGGGCAGACUAGAGUGCAGUAGGGGAGACUGGAAUUCCUGGUGUAGCGGUGAAAUGCGCAGAUAUCAGGAGGAACACCGAUGGCGAAGGCAGGUCUCUGGGCUGUAACUGACGCUGAGGAGCGAAAGCAUGGGGAGCGAACAGGAUUAGAUACCCUGGUAGUCCAUGCCGUAAACGUUGGGCACUAGGUGUGGGGGACA